rnacentral:rRNA from 1 species
GACGAACGCUGGCGGCGUGCCUAAUACAUGCAAGUCGAGCGGACUGAAUGGGAGCUUGCUCUUGUUCGGUCAGCGGCGGACGGGUGAGUAACACGUGGGCAACCUGCCCGCAAGACCGGGAUAACUCCGGGAAACCGGAGCUGAUACCGGAUAACACCGAAGACCGCAUGGUCUUUGGUUGAAAGGCGGCGCAAGCUGCCACUUGCGGAUGGGCCCGCGGCGCAUUAGCUAGUUGGUGAGGUAACGGCUCACCAAGGCGACGAUGCGUAGCCGGCCUGAGAGGGGGACCGGCAACACUGGACUGAGACACGGCCCAGACUCCUACGGGAGGCAGCAGUAGGGAAUCUUCCGCAAUGGGCGAAAGCCUGACGGAGCGACGCCGCGUGAGCGAAGAAGGCCUUCGGGUCGUAAAGCUCUGUUGUGAGGGACGAAGGAGCGCCGUUUGAAGAAGGCGGCGCGGUGACGGUACCUCACGAGGAAGCCCCGGCUAACUACGUG